rnacentral:rRNA from 1 species
AACGAACGCGGCGGCGUGGAUCAGGCAUGCAAGUCGAACGGGAUCUUUAGGAUUCAAUCCUUCGGGAGAGAAACCUUUACGUGAGAGUGGCGGAAGGGUGAGGAACACGUGGGUAAUUUACCUCGAUGUUGGGGAUAGCCUCCCGAAAGGGGGGAUAAUACCGAAUGUGGUCGGGUCACGCAUGUGACCUUGUCUGAAGGCGGGGAUCUUCGGACCUGCCGCAUUGAGAUGAGCCCGCGGCCUAUCAGCUUGUUGGUGAGGUAACGGCUCACCAAGGCUUAGACGGGUAGCUGGUCUGAGAGGAUGGUCAGCCACACUGGGACUGAGACACUGCCCAGACUCCUACGGGAGGCUGCAGUCGAGAAUCAUUCGCAAUGCACGAAAGUGCGACGAUGCGACGCCGCGUGCAGGAUGACGGCCUUCGGGUUGUAAACUGCUGUCAUGGGGGAACAAUAGCCCGGGUGUUAAUACCAACCAAGGUGUGAUGGUACCCUAAGAGGAAGCCACGGCUAACUCUGUGCCAGCAGCCGCGGUAAUACAGAGGUGGCGAGCGUUGUUCGGAUUUACUGGGCGUAAAGGGUGCGUAGCGGCAUGGUAUGUCGGAUGUGAAAGCUCUGGGCUCAACCCAGAAACGGCAUUUCGAAACUGCUGUGCUAGAGUACUGGAGAGGUGAGCGGAAUU